UACGAAGGGGGCUAGCGUUGCUCGGAAUUACUGGGCGUAAAGGGCGCGCAGGCGGCUCUGAAAGUCAGAUGUGAAAGCCCCGGGCUUAACCUGGGAAUCGCAUUUGAUACUCUGGAGCUUGAGUGUGGGAGAGGAGAGUGGAAUUCCCAGUGUAGAGGUGAAAUUCGUAGAUAUUGGGAAGAACACCGGUGGCGAAGGCGGCUCUCUGGACCACAACUGACGCUGAGGCGCGAAAGCGUGGGGAGCAAACAGG
rnacentral:rRNA from 1 species